GACGAACGCUGGCGGCGUGCCUAAUACAUGCAAGUCGAACGAACCGCGACUAAGUGCUUGCACUAAGUCAAGGUGAGUGGCGAACGGGUGAGUAACACGUGGGUAACCUACCUCAUAGUGGGGGAUAACAGUCGGAAACGACUGCUAAUACCGCAUAGGACAUAGGAUCACAUGAUCCAGUGAGGAAAGGUGGCGCAAGCUAUCGCUAAGAGAUGGACCCGCGGUGCAUUAGCUAGUUGGUAGGGUAAAGGCCUACCAAGGCGAUGAUGCAUAGCCGACCUGAGAGGGGGAUCGGCCACAUUGGGACUGAGACACGGCCCAAACUCCUACGGGAGGCAGCAGUAGGGAAUCUUCCGCAAUGGACGCAAGUCUGACGGAGCAACGCCGCGUGAGUGAAGAAGGUCUUCGGAUCGUAAAGCUCUGUUGUUAGAGAAGAACAGCGCAUAGAGUAACUGCUAUGCGUGUGACGGUAUCUAACCAGAAAGCCACGGCUAACUACGUG
rnacentral:rRNA from 1 species